GGCUGGUCUGAAGGUAGCAAGUUACCUCACUUGAUUGUUCAUAGUCAGGUACAGUUUGAACUCCUUGUUCUACUUUCCCCCUUCUCACUACUGCACUUGACUAGUCUUAA
rnacentral:Y_RNA from 1 species